UCCUACGGGAGGCAGCAGUGGGGAAUUUUACGCAAUGGGGGAAGCCCUGACGUAGCGACACCGCGUGAGCGAAGAAGCCCUUUGGGGUGUAAAGCUCUGUCAACAGGAACGAAAAAAAUGACGGUACCUGUGGAGGAAGCAUCGGCUAACUACGUGCCAGCAGCCGCGGUAAGACGUAGGAUGCAAGCGUUGUCCGGAUUUAUUGGGCGUAAAGAGUUCGUAGGCGGUUUGUUAAGUCUGAUGUUAAAGACCGGGGCUCAACCUCGGAAAUGCAUUGGAUACUGGCAGACUGGAGUGCAGUAGAGGCUAGUGGAAUUCCCAGUGUAGCGGUGAAAUGCGUAGAUAUUGGGAAGAACACCGGUGGCGUAGGCGACUAGCAGGGCUGUAACUGACGCUGAGGAACGAAAGCCAGGGGAGCAAAUGGGAUUAGAUACCCCAGUAGUCCAAGCCG
rnacentral:rRNA from 1 species